rnacentral:lncRNA from 1 species
CAAGGUCCGAUUUGCAUGGAAAUAAUCAGAGUGUAUUUUUACCGACUGUCUCGGUCUCUCUCUUCUCUCUCUCCUCCGCCUCACAAAAAAUCUUAGGUGUCACUUCUUACAGAUAACUGAUGGGUAUUGUUGUACAUGCCCUAAAUUGAACACACGACACUAUCUAAAUCACGCACUGGACGUGACACUUAAUGAAACGAGCAAAGCAUCAGCAACAAGAUUAACUCGAUCGAUAUACCAACCCGAAGAUACGGGAGACAGAAGACCACAUCUGGCGGAGGGACUUUUAUUUUUCUUGUCAGCAUAAUUUUUUAUGGGUAAUCUCGAUAGCAUAAAUCUGAUUUAUGCAAGGUACGUGGGCCCCCAAUUUUCAGUGAGACUAAUAAAUCAUCUAGAUAAUCGGCACUUUGGGUACGUUAAGACUAAAGAAAGACUUCCCUACCGACCAUCAAAAAAAAAAAGAAAACCUCUCCGCCGGCGCCGCCGGGCAGUACAAGGGGUUCCGGCCUUCUGGGCUUCCGGCUAGCCGAGGCGGUGCGCCGCUGCGGUAGGAGGGAGGAUGGCCGGAGACACCAUCCCCGGGGGAAUCCUCUGAGGAAGGUUACGGGUUUGGGGGUGAUCUGGACUCGAGCAUGGAGGAUCUGCGACUGCAAGUGUUGGGAUUCGUGUUGCUGGUUGGUUGCACAUACCCGCUGGCUUUUGCUGAAGAACAGACGACUCGCUAUUCAGGCCGGCCGCCGCGGAACAUUGGCGGAACGGCAGCGGCGGCGAAGAAACCGCUUCGCCCCGUCACUGGUGCUUGGCUGUACAUAAUGUACCAUCAGGACCGCACGCUCCCCAUCCG